UGGGGAAUUUUGCGCAAUGGGGGAAACCCUGACGCAGCAACGCCGCGUGAGUGAUGAAGGCCUUCGGGUCGUAAAGCUCUUUUAGUGGGGACGAAGCCCACCAGGGCUAAUAUCCCUGGUGAAUGACGGUACCCACAGAAUAAGUCUCGGCUAACUACGUGCCAGCAGCCGCGGUAAUACGUAGGGUGCGAGCGUUAAUCGGAAUUACUGGGCGUAAAGCGUGCGCAGGCGGAUUGUUAAGCAAGACGUGAAAUCCCCGGGCUUAACCUGGGAAUGGCGUUUUGAACUGGCAGUCUAGAGUGUGUCAGAGGGGGGUGGAAUUCCACGUGUAGCAGUGAAAUGCGUAGAGAUGUGGAGGAACACCAAUGGCGAAGGCAGCCCCCUGGGAUAACACUGACGCUCAUGUACGAAAGCGUGGGUAGCAAACAGGAUUAGAUACCCUGGUAGUCCACGCCCUAAACGAUGUCAACUGGUUGUUGGGGGAGUGAAAUCCCUUAGUAACGAAGCUAACGCGUGAAGUUGACCGCCUGGGGAGUACGGUCGCAAGAUUA
rnacentral:rRNA from 1 species